rnacentral:rRNA from 1 species
CCUACGGGAGGCUGCAGUGGGGAAUAUUGCACAAUGGGCGCAAGCCUGAUGCAGCCAUGCCGCGUGUGUGAAGAAGGCCUUCGGGUUGUAAAGCACUUUCAGCGGGGAGGAAGGCGUUAAGGUUAAUAACCUUGUCGAUUGACGUUACCCGCAGAAGAAGCACCGGCUAACUCCGUGCCAGCAGCCGCGGUAAUACGGAGGGUGCGAGCGUUAAUCGGAAUUACUGGGCGUAAAGCGCACGCAGGCGGUCUGUCAAGUCGGAUGUGAAAUCCCCGGGCUCAACCUGGGAACUGCAUUCGAAACUGGCAGGCUAGAGUCUUGUAGAGGGGGGUAGAAUUCCAGGUGUAGCGGUGAAAUGCGUAGAGAUCUGGAGGAAUACCGGUGGCGAAGGCGGCCCCCUGGACAAAGACUGACGCUCAGGUGCGAAAGUGUGGGGAGCAAACAGGAUUAGAUACCCUAGUAGUC